UACAGGGGGGCAAGCGUUGUUCGGAAUACUGGGCGUAAAGGGUCUGUAGGUGGCCAACUAAGUCAGACGUGAAAUCCCUCAGCUUAACUGGGGAACUGCGUCUGAUACUGGAUGGCUUGAGUGUGGGAGAGGAAUGCGGAAUUCCAGGUGUAGCGGUGAAAUGCGUAGAUAUCUGGAGAACACCGGUGGCGAAGGCGGCAUUCUGGACCAUAACUGACACUGAGAGACGAAAGCCAGGGGAGCAAACGGG
rnacentral:rRNA from 1 species